rnacentral:misc_RNA from 1 species
AUUUUUAGAGAGAGAGAGAGAGAGAGAGAAACAGGGAGAGAGAGAGGAAGAGAGAAGCUCAGGAUCCUCUCAGAUCGGACCGGAAUUCAUUUGGAUUCUGAGAAUAUUGCAAUUUUUGCAAUUUGAUGGGACGGGAACUUACAGAUUAAGAAAUGGAUAGGAAGCCGAACGGUGUUGUAGUGAACUCAAAUGGUGUCUCUUAUGAUAAAGUCCAUGCUCUUCCUAAAACUUCAGGACAUAGUGUUGAAGCAAAGGACUAUAAGGAGAAGGAAUGCGGUGCUGAAGAUUCAGUUGUUAAGAACCAUAACGAGAAACAAGACGUUCUUGGUGUCAAAAGCACAAAUUUUGAUACUGACCAAUCUGAGGCUAAAAAUGAAGAACCUGGUGCUGAGAAGUCAAGCGAGGAUAAAAAUUUCAGCUUCCCUGCUUCGAAAUCUGGUGGAACCAGAAAUGCAUGGGGGCAUCAUACUGUCCCACAGCCAUUUGCUUUGGCAACUGAAAAACGCGCUGGUGUGAACACUUCAACGAACGUGAAUAAUUUGAGCUCCCCUAUCGCUACGAAGAAUUCCCAGCUGAAUUCACCUUCUACAGCAAGGAAACCAUUGCACCCUGAUAAUAAGAAGCUUCCUGAUGAA